rnacentral:snRNA from 1 species
AGCUUUAUGCAGUGGCAAUAUUGUAGCCAAUGAAGUCAAACCGAGGCGUGAUUAUUGCUAAUUGU